GACGAACGCUGGCGGCGUGCUUAACACAUGCAAGUCGAACGGAAAGGCCCUGCUUUUGUGGGGUGCUCGAGUGGCGAACGGGUGAGUAACACGUGAGUAACCUGCCCUUGACUUUGGGAUAACUUCAGGAAACUGGGGCUAAUACCGGAUAGGAGCUCCUGCUGCAUGGUGGGGGUUGGAAAGUUUCGGCGGUUGGGGAUGGACUCGCGGCUUAUCAGCCUGUUGGUGGGGUAGUGGCUUACCAAGGCUUUGACGGGUAGCCGGCCUGAGAGGGUGACCGGCCACAUUGGGACUGAGAUACGGCCCAGACUCCUACGGGAGGCAGCAGUGGGGAAUAUUGCACAAUGGGCGGAAGCCUGAUGCAGCAACGCCGCGUGCGGGAUGACGGCCUUCGGGUUGUAAACCGCUUUCGCCUGUGACGAAGCGUGAGUGACGGUAAUGGGUAAAGAAGCACCGGCUAACUAC
rnacentral:rRNA from 1 species